CCUAGGGGGGCAGCCGUGGGGUAUAUUGCACCAUGGGCGCAAGCCUGCUGCCGCCAUGCCGCGUGUGUGAAGAAGGCCUUCGGGUUGUAAAGCACUUUCAGCGGGGAGGAAGGCGGUGAGGUUAAUAACCUCAUCGAUUGACGUUACCCGCAGAAGAAGCACCGGCUAACUCCGUGCCAGCAGCCGCGGUAAUACGGAGGGUGCAAGCGUUAAUCGGAAUUACUGGGCGUAAAGCGCACGCAGGCGGUCUGUCAAGUCGGAUGUGAAAUCCCCGGGCUCAACCUGGGAACUGCAUUCGAAACUGGCAGGCUAGAGUCUUGUAGAGGGGGGUAGAAUUCCAGGUGUAGCGGUGAAAUGCGUAGAGAUCUGGAGGAGUACCGGUGGCGAAGGCGGCCCCCUGGACAAAGACUGACGCUCAGGUGCGAAAGCGUGGGGAGCAAACAGGAUUAGAUACCCGUGUAGUC
rnacentral:rRNA from 1 species